rnacentral:rRNA from 1 species
AGAGUUUGAUCCUGGCUCAGAACGAACGCUGGCGGCAUGCCUAACACAUGCAAGUCGAACGAAGCCUUCGGGCUUAGUGGCGCACGGGUGCGUAACACGUGGGAAUCUGCCCUUUGGUUCGGAAUAACAGUUAGAAAUGACUGCUAAUACCGGAUAAUGACGUAAGUCCAAAGAUUUAUCGCCGAAGGAUGAGCCCGCGUAGGAUUAGGUAGUUGGUGGGGUAAUGGCCCACCAAGCCGACGAUCCUUAGCUGGUCUGAGAGGAUGAUCAGCCACACUGGGACUGAGACACGGCCCAGACUCCUACGGGAGGCAGCAGUGGGGAAUAUUGGACAAUGGGCGAAAGCCUGAUCCAGCAAUGCCGCGUGAGUGAUGAAGGCCUUAGGGUUGUAAAGCUCUUUUACCAGGGAUGAUAAUGACAGUACCUGGAGAAUAAGCUCCGGCUAACUCCGUG